AGCAGCCGCGGUAAUUCCAGCUCCAAUAGCGUAUAUUAAAGUUGUUGCAGUUAAAAAGCUCGUAGUUGAACUUCGGGGUUUACUCAUUGGUCAGGCUUAAUUGUCUGUACUGGUGAGAUGAAUCUCUACCUUCUGAGGAACUUUCAUGCCAUUUAUUUGGUGUGAUUGGAAAUCAGGACUGUUACUUUGAAAAAAUUAGAGUGUUUAAAGCAGGCUAACGUCUGAAUACAUUAGCAUGGAAUAAUGAAAUAGGACGGAUUGAUUCUAUUUCGUUGGUUUCUAGGGUCACCGUAAUGAUUAAUAGGGAUAGUUGGGGGCAUUAGUAUUCAAUUGUCAGAGGUGAAAUUCUUGGAUUUAUUGAAGACUAACUACUGCGAAAGCAUUUGCCAAGGAUGUUUUCAUUAAUCAAGAACGAAAGUUAGGGGAUCGAAGACGAUCAGAUACCGUCGUAGUCUUAACCAUAAACUAUGCCGACUAGGGAUCGGACGCAGUUAAUUUUAUAAUGACGUGUUCGGCACCUUACG
rnacentral:rRNA from 1 species